rnacentral:tRNA from 1 species
AUUUAUAUAGCUUAAUAAAUAAGAGCAUUGUGUUGAAGCCGCGAAAGUGAUUUUUAUAUCUAUAAAUA